AGCGAACGCUGGCGGCAGGCUUAACACAUGCAAGUCGAGCGGGCCCUUCGGGGUCAGCGGCGGACGGGUGAGUAACGCGUGGGAACGUGCCCUCUGGUUCGGAAUAACUCAGGGAAACUUGAGCUAAUACCGGAUACGCCCUUUUGGGGAAAGGCUUGCUGCCGGAGGAUCGGCUCGCGUCUGAUUAGCUAGUUGGUGGGGUAACGGCCUACCAAGGCAACGAUCAGUAGCUGGUCUGAGGGGAUGAUCAGCCACACUGGGACUGAGACACGGCCCAGACUCCUACGGGAGGCAGCAGUGGGGAAUAUUGGACAAUGGGGGCAACCCUGAUCCAGCCAUGCCGCGUGAGUGAUGAAGGCCUUAGGGUUGUAAAGCUCUUUUAUCCGGGACGAUAAUGACGGUACCGGAGGAAUAAGCCCCGGCUAACUUCGUGCCAGCCGCCGCUGUAA
rnacentral:rRNA from 1 species